CCUCUUCCUGUUUUCUUCAGUUGUUUUAUUUUUUUGAUCCACCACUAGGUGUUGAGAUUUUACCUCUGCGAAUUCAAACGACGUCGAUACUCGUUGUAACACCACCAUUGAUUAGAUCCACCACCAGAAAUCUAAUAAUAAUCACAACAGCAGAUCGAUCUUGACGAUGUUGUUGAUGAUGAUAUAUGAAAUUGAUUAGACAAAUCAGGCAUUGAAGUUUAUGAUUCAAUUCGAUUGACAGAAGGUUUCUUUUGCCAGAGCUUUAAACUCAUCGAAGUUCUUAGUUUAAAUCCAACUUAAACUAGGAGGAUUUGAUGGUAAUAAGAAGAGUUUGAGAAAAGCUCUGAUUAAGAUUUCGCAUGGCAGCACUGUCUAGGUCUUCUCCUAACUAUAAUGAUUCUUCCCAAACUACCGUACCGACCCUUAAAGAUCACUUGGUAACUGUUGUUGAGGUGUACUGCAACUGCAGAUAGCUAAUCCAUUAAUAACAAGUCGAGACAAAGGAAGACGUGAACAAUCAGCGGGAUCUCUAAUCAAAAGUCGUUGGUGACUGGUACAGGUGUUAUACCUGAUUUCUGGUGGAGUCCCAUGUGAAGGCUAUACAUUGUCCUCAUAAUCUAUGGCCAACAUUAGAUGACACUAAAGUAGAAUUACCAUUUACAACCUGAGAGCAUGUAACCAUUACAGAUGAAAGGUAGCAAAAGGAUGGACUAUUCCAUGGUAAAACAAGUGAUCCAAACAAAGACGACUAUUCAUUCAGCUUGCGGAGUUCAAAAAUUCAGCUUUCGGAGUUCAAGCUACUUGAAAUUCUUGUGUCGAGUACCAAAACCAAAAAUGAAAUUGGGACUAUUUCAUGGUAAUCAAGUGAUCCAGACAAAGACGACCAUUCAUUCAGCUUGCAGAGUUCAACCGACUUGAAAUGUUCUACACCACUUCAACCUACAAUCAUAGUAAAAAACAGAGUUUGAUCCUGGCUCAGAACGAACGCUAGCUAUAUGCUUAACACAUGCAAGUUGAACGUUGCUUUCAGGGAGUUGGCCCUUGAGAAAUUCUUGUGUCGAGUACCAGAACCAAAAAUAAAAUUGGUAUGUGUAGUUGUGUUGAUAUUUUCUGCACAAAAUAAAUUUGUGAAUAUUUUCUGCACAUAACAAAUCUUGUGGAUAUUCUCUGCACACAUUGAACUGCGGAUACAUAAUGUACAAAUUAUCAGUCUCAAUUUGUUGUGAAUGAACAACAAAUAAUCAAACAAUUCAAAUUAAUGAAUGGAUAAAUGGUGAAUUCA